rnacentral:rRNA from 1 species
UUCGUAGGCGGUGCGGAAAGUUGGGAGUGAAAUCUCUGGGCUUAACUCAGAGACUGCUUUCAAAACUUCCGUGCUCGAGUGCGAGAGAGGCAAGUGGAAUUGCAGGUGUAGCGGUGAAAUGCGUAGAUAUCUGCAGGAACACCCGUGGCGAAGGCGGCUUGCUGGAUCGCAACUGACGCUGAGGAACGAAAGCUAAGGGGAGCAAACA